UAGGGAAUCUUCGGCAAUGGGGGCAACCCUGACCGAGCAACGCCGCGUGAGUGAAGAAGGUUUUCGGAUCGUAAGGCUCUGUUGUAAGUCAAGAACGGGUGUGAGAGUGGAAAGUUCACACUGUGACGGUAGCUUACCAGAAAGGGACGGCUAACUACGUGCCAGCAGCCGCGGUAAUACGUAGGUCCCGAGCGUUGUCCGGAUUUAUUGGGCGUAAAGCGAGCGCAGGCGGUUUUGAUAAGUCUGAAGUUAAAGGCUGUGGCUCAACCAUAGUUCGCUUGGAAACUGUCAAACUUGAGUGCAGAAGGGGAGAGUGGAAUUCCAUGUGUAGCGGUGAAAUGCGUAGAUAUAUGGAGGAACACCGGUGGCGAAAGCGGCUCUCUGGUCUGUAACUGACGCUGAGGCUCGAAAGCGUGGGGAGCGAACAGGAUUAGAUACCCUGGUAGUCCACGCCGUAAACGAUGAGUGCUAGGUGUUGGAUCCUUUCCGGGAUUCAGUGCCGCAGCUAACGCAUUAAGCACUCCGCCUGGGGAGUACGACCGCAAGGUUGAAAC
rnacentral:rRNA from 1 species